CCGCUUAACACAUGCAAGUCGAGGGGCAGCAUGGUCUUAGCUUGCUGAGGCUGAUGGCGACCGGCGCACGGGUGAGUAACACGUAUCCAACCUGCCGUCUACUCUUGGACAGCCUUCUGAAAGGAAGAUUAAUACAAGAUGGCAUCAUGAGUCCACAUGUUCACAUGAUUAAAGGUAUUCCGGUAGACGAUGGGGAUGCGUUCCAUUAGAUAGUAGGCGGGGUAACGGCCCACCUAGUCUUCGAUGGAUAGGGGUUCUGAGAGGAAGGUCCCCCACAUUGGAACUGAGACACGGUCCAAACUCCUACGGGAGGCAGCAGUGAGGAAUAUUGGUCAAUGGGCGAGAGCCUGAACCAGCCAAGUAGCGUGAAGGAUGACUGCCCUAUGGGUUGUAAACUUCUUUUAUAAAGGAAUAAAGUCGGGUAUGCAUACCCGUUUGCAUGUACUUUAUGAAUAAGGAUCGGCUAACUCCGUGCCAGCAGCCGCGGUAAUACGGAGGAUCCGAGCGUUAUCCGGAUUUAUUGGGUUUAAAGGGAGCGUAGAUGGAUGUUUAAGUCAGUUGUGAAAGUUUGCGGCUCAACCGUAAAAUUGCAGUUGAUACUGGAUAUCUUGAGUGCAGUUGAGGCAGGCGGAAUUCGUGGUGUAGCGGUGAAAUGCUUAGAUAUCACGAAGAACUCCGAUUGCGAAGGCAGCCUGCUAAGCUGCAACUGACAUUGAGGCUCGAAAGUGUGGGUAUCAAACAGGAUUAGAUACCCUGGUAGUCCACACGGUAAACGAUGAAUACUCGCUGUUUGCGAUAUACGGCAAGCGGCUAAGCGAAAGCGUUAAGUAUUCCACCUGGGGAGUACGCCGGCAACGGUGAAACUCAAAGGAAUUGACGGGGGCCCGCACAAGCGGAGGAACAUGUGGUUUAAUUCGAUGAUACGCGAGGAACCUUACCCGGGCUUAAAUUGCAGAUGAAUUACGGUGAAAGCCGUAAGCCGCAAGGCAUCUGUGAAGGUGCUGCAUGGUUGUCGUCAGCUCGUGCCGUGAGGUGUCGGCUUAAGUGCCAUAACGAGCGCAACCCUUGUUGUCAGUUACUAACAGGUUCCGCUGAGGACUCUGACAAGACUGCCAUCGUAAGAUGUGAGGAAGGUGGGGAUGACGUCAAAUCAGCACGGCCCUUACGUCCGGGGCUACACACGUGUUACAAUGGGGGGUACAGAGGGCCGCUACCACGCGAGUGGAUGCCAAUCCCCAAAACCUCUCUCAGUUCGGACUGGAGUCUGCAACCCGACUCCACGAAGCUGGAUUCGCUAGUAAUCGCGCAUCAGCCACGGCGCGGUGAAUACGUUCCCGGGCCUUGUACACACCGCCCGUCAAGCCAUGGGAGCCGGGGGUACCUGAAGUGCGUAACCGCGAGGAGCGCCCUAGGGUAAAACUGGUGACUGGGGCUA
rnacentral:rRNA from 1 species